rnacentral:rRNA from 1 species
GUGCCAGCAGCCGCGGUAAUACCGGCAGCCCGAGUGAUGGCCGAUCUUAUUGGGCCUAAAGCGUCCGUAGCUGGCUGCGCAAGUCCGUCGGGAAAUCCACUCGCUCAACGCGUGGGCGUCUAGCGGAAACUGCCUGGCUUGGGGCCGGAGGACUCGAGGGGUACGUCCGGGGUAGGAGUGAAAUCCCGUAAUCCCGGACGGACUACCGAUGGCGAAAGCACUCUGAGAAGACGGCUUCGACAGUGAGGGACGAAAGCUCGGGUCUCAAACCGGAUUAGAAACCCCGGUAGUCC